CGCACAUUGCGCCCUUUGGUAUUCCGAGGGGCAUGCCUGUUCGAGCGUCAUUUAAACCAUCAAGCGCGGCUUGGCUUUGGACCCGGGCACCUGCUGCCCGGUCCGAAACCCCGGUUGGCGUUCCCGUCGAGCUCCGAGCGUAGCAAGAACUACUCCCUCGCUCUGGAGCCCUCUGGCGGGAGCCGCCCUGAAAACCACACCGACAGUUUGACCUCGGAUCAGGUAGGGAUACCCGCUGAACUUAA
rnacentral:misc_RNA from 1 species